AUACGUAGGGGGCAAGCGUUGUCCGGAAUGACUGGGCGUAAAGGGCGUGUAGGCGGCCGAUUAAGUCUGGAGUGAAAGUCCUGCUUUCAAGGUGGGAAUUGCUUCGGAUACUGGUUGGCUUGAGUGCGGAAGAGGUAAGUGGAAUUCCCAGUGUAGCGGUGAAAUGCGUAGAGAUUGGGAGGAACACCAGUGGCGAAGGCGACUGCCGGGGCCGUAACUGACGCUGAGGCGCGAAAGCGUGGGGAGCGAACAGGAUUAGAUACCCUGGUAGUCCACGCCGUAAACGAUGGAUACUAGGUGUGGGUGUCGCAGGGCAUCCGUGCCGCAGCUAACGCGUUAAGUAUCCCGCCUGGGGACUACGGUCGCAAGACUGAAACUCAAAGGAAUUGACGGGG
rnacentral:rRNA from 1 species